rnacentral:rRNA from 1 species
GCGGCGCGUCUGAAACAUGCAAGUCGAACGAGAGCGACCGGUGCUUGCACUGGUCAAUCUAGUGGCGAACGGGUGAGUAACACGUGGGUAACCUGCCUAUCAGAGGGGGAUAACAUCCGGAAACGGAUGCUAAAACCGCAUAGGUCUUCGAGCCGCAUGGCUUGAAGAGGAAAAGAGGCACAAGCUUCUGCUGAUGGAUGGACCCGCGGUGCAUUAGCUAGUUGGUGAGGUAACGGCUCACCAAGGCCGUGAUGCAUAGCCGACCUGAGAGGGUGAUCGGCCACAUUGGGGCUGAGACACGGCCCAAACUCCUACGGGAGGCAGCAGUAGGGAAUCUUCCGCAAUGGACGCAAGUCUGACGGAGCAACGCCGCGUGAGUGAAGAAGGUUUUCGGAUCGUAAAACUCUGUUGUUAGAAAAGAACAAGUGCUAGAG